UACGUAGGGCGCAAGCGUUAUCCGGAAUUAUUGGGCGUAAAGAGCUCGUAGGCGGUUUGUCGCGUCUGCUGUGAAAACUCGGGGCUUAACUCCGGGCCUGCAGUGGGUACGGGCAGACUAGAGUGCGGUAGGGGAGACUGGAAUUCCUGGUGUAGCGGUGAAAUGCGCAGAUAUCAGGAGGAACACCGGUGGCGAAGGCGGGUCUCUGGGCCGUAACUGACGCUGAGGAGCGAAAGCGUGGGGAGCAAACAGG
rnacentral:rRNA from 1 species